GCGGGUGUAGCUCUGUGGUAGAGAGUCACGUUGCCAACGUAAAUGUCGUCGGGUCAAAUCCGAUCACCGGCU
rnacentral:tRNA from 1 species